rnacentral:rRNA from 1 species
CGACCGGCGCACGGGUGAGUAACGCGUAUCCAACCUACCCAUUACUGUGGGAUAACCUGCCGAAAGGCAGACUAAUACCGCAUGGUCUUCGAUGACGGCAUCAGAUUUGAAGUAAAGAUUUAUCGGUAAUGGAUGGGGAUGCGUCUGAUUAGCUUGUUGGCGGGGUAACGGCCCACCAAGGCAACGAUCAGUAGGGGUUCUGAGAGGAAGGUCCCCCACAUUGGAACUGAGAUACGGUCCAA